GGUGCCCCAUAGCUGGGCUGGUUGCCCCAUAGCUGGGAUGGUUGCCCCAUAGCUGGGCUGGUUGCCCCAUAGAUGGGCUGGUUGCCCCAUAGCUGGGCUAGUUGCCCCAUAGAUGGGUUGGGUGCCCCAUAAAUGGUCUCUGUGCCCCAUAGCUGCGUUGGUUGCCCCAGAGAUGAAUUGGGGCACAGAUCCCCACAGCUGGGCUGGUUGCCCCAUAGAUGGAUUGGUUGCCCCACAGAUGGGUUGGUUGCCCCAUAGCUGGGUUGUUUGCCCCACAGCUGGGCUGGUAGCCCCAUAAAUGGAUUGGUUGCCCCAUAGAUGGUUGGUUGCCCCAUUGAUGGAUUGGGUGCCCCAUAGCUGGGCUGGUUGCCCCAUAGCUGGGCUAGUUGCCCAUAGGUGGGUUGAUAGCCCCAUAGAUGGGUUGGGUGCCCCAUAGAUGGUCUCUGUGCCCCAUAGAUGAGUUGGUUGCCCCAUAGCUGUGUUGGUUGCCCCACAGCUGGGCUGGUAGCCCCACAGCUGGGCUGGUAGCCCCAUCUCCAUCCGUGCCCCCGUUUCCCGCAGAGCUGCAGCAGCUGCGCUCGGCGCUGCCGGGAGCCGCGGUGCUGCAGCGCCUGCCGCAGUCCGGCGCCGUUUUGGUGCUGCCGCCGGCGGCGCCGCGCGACCUCCUGGAGCUCUACUUCGAGAACCGCCGCAGCGCCGGCGGCAAAGUGGGCGCCGUGAGGCUGCGCCGCGAUGGGGCCGCCGUCGUCACCUUCCGAGACCCACAGGUGGUGCCGCGGGUGCUGCGCCGGACGCAUCGGCUGCAGGACGUGGAGCUGCGUGUGGUGCCGUACUACCAGGCCCUGGAGAUGGAUGGCGCCGAUCCGGCACCGGGCGAUGGCACAGAUCCGGCACUGGGCGAUGGCACAGAUCCGGCACCGGGCGAUGGCACAGAUCCGGCACCAGGUGGUGUAGAUCCGUGGGAUCUGGCAGCCACCAACACCUCGCAGCUGAGUGCGGAGCUGCCGGCUGCGGACUCUCCGGUGAUGCCACCGUGGACGACCCUGGACCCCACGGUGACACCAAAAGGGACAAACCGAGACCCCGUGGUGGUGACACCAGGAGGGACCCUGAACCGCCCGGUGACACCAGGGAGGACCACCGAGGACCCCAUGGUGACACCAGGGAGGACCCAGAACCCCACGGUGACACCAGGGAGCACCCGUAACCUCAUGGCGACACCAAAGACGACAACCCGCGUCCCUCCGGCGACACCAAAGACGCCCCCCCAAGACCCCACGCCGACACCAGGUGUGACCACCCUGGACCCCAGCGCGGCGUCACCGUCACCAUCGCCGGCCCAGGAGCGCGUGGUGCUGCCGGAAGCGACGCUGCAAUUCCUGCGCCGCGCCGACGUCCGCGCUCAGCUGUCCGGCACCGCGCCGUACGCCGUGGUCGGCACCGCGGUGCUGCUGACGGCCCCCAGCCCCGCGGACGCCCGCCGUGCCGCGCGGCGCCUGCAGGACGCGCUGGGUGCCUUCGCCGUGGCGGUGCCGCCGCGGUGCCGCGUGCCGGGGCCGGGAUCGCCGUGCUGGCGGCGGCUGCGGUGCUGCGCGGUGCGGCGGAGCGCGGACGGGCGCUGGGUGCAGGGCCUGACCCUGCGCGGCAUGGAGGAGGAGAACCGGCGCCGCGUGUGGGACGCCGUGCGGGGGGAUGGCAGCAUGGAUCCCGGCGGGGUGGAUCCCGGUGGCGUAGAUCCUGGCGGGGUGGAUCCCAGCGGUGUGGAUCCCGGUGGUGAGCGGCAGCGCGGCGGGGAUGGCGGCGGGGAUCCCACGGUGGGUGCAGAUCCCGCUGUGCGGCCCAGCAGAGGACGCAGGGUGGAUCCCGACGGAGAUCCCAACUCGUGGCUCAACCUGGAACCCGACGGAGAGCCCGAUUCACAGCCCGUCCUGGAUCCCAGCGUGGAUCCCAACGUGGAUCCCAAUGGAGAUCCCAAUUCACGGCCCAUCAUGGAACCCAUCCUGGAUCCCAACAGAGAUCCCAAUUCACGGCCCAGCGUGGAUCCCAGCAGAGAUCCCAAUCCAUGGCUCAUCGUGGAACCCAGCGCGGAUCCCAUGGUGGAUCCCAGCGCCGAUCGGCGGCCCAGCCCGGCCCCCUCCGCGGAUCCCGCAGCUCCCGGCGCGGCGCCGGCGGAGGCGGUGGUUCCGAUGGCCGCGGGCGCCCUGCGCUUCCUGCAGGAGCGGCGCCGGGCUCUGCUGGCCGCCGUCGGCGGCGUCUCCGUGCUGCCGCUGGGGGGAUCCGACGGCUGCGCCCUGCGGCUGCACCCGGCAGAGCCGCUCAACCGCAGCCGGCGCCCGGAGCUGAGCGGUGAUGCCGGUGUGGGGCGUGGUGACGCCGCGGCACAGCUGUGUGCUGGCAGUGCUGUGCCGUGUGGUGACCGUGGCAAAGGUGAGGAGGGGUGAAGGGUCCUGCGAUGGAGUAGGGGGUCUCCAAAUGGGGUCGGGGUCUCCAAUGGGGAUGGAGGGGGUCCCCAAAUGGGGUUGGGAUGUCCCCAGAUGGGGCCGGGGUCUCAAUUUGGGAUGGAGGGGGUCCCUAAAUGGGGUCGAGGUCCCAAAUUGGGAUGGAGGGGAUCCCUAAAUGGGGUCGGAGGUCCCCAAAUGGGUUUGGGAUGUCCUCAGAUAGGGUGAGGGGUUUCCACUGGGGAUGGAGAGGGUCCCUAAAUGGGGCCAGGGUCUCACAUUGGGAUGGAGUCCCUAAAUAGGGUUAGGAUCUCAAACUGGGAUGGAGGGGCUCCCUAAAUGGGGUUGGGGGUCUCCAAAUCGGUUUGGGGGUCCCCAGAUGGGGUCAGGGUCUCAAAUGGGGAUGGAGGGGGUCCCUAAAUGGGGCCGGGGUCUCAAAUGGGGAUGGAGGGGGUCCCUAAAUGGGAUCGGGAGUCGCCAAAUGGGUUUGGGAUGUCCCCAGAUGGGGUCGGGGUCUCAAAUGGGGAUGGAGGUGGUCCCCAAAUGGGGUUGGGGGUCCCCAGAUGGGGUCAGGGAUCCCUAAAUGGGGUUGGGGGUCCCCAAAUGGGUUUGGGAUGUCCCCAGAUGGGGUCAGGGGUCUCCANNNNNNNNNNNNNNNNNNNNNNNNNNNNNNNNNNNNNNNNNNNNNNNNNNNNNNNNNNNNNNNNNNNNNNNNNNNNNNNNNNNNNNNNNNNNNNGUCGGGGUCCCCAAAUGGGUUUGGGAUGUCCCCAGAUGGGGUCAGGGUCUCAAACUGGGAUGGAGGGGGUCCCUAAAUGGGGCUGGGGGCCCUCGAUAUGAGUGGGGCUGGGAGUUUUCCAAGUUGGAGUUAAAAGUUCCCAAAUUGGGUUUUCCAAAUUGGGGUGGAGUGGAGCUGGGGGGCUUUGAAUAGGGUUGGGGGUCCCGAAAUGGGGCUGGGGGGCUUCAAAUGGGGCUGGGGGUCCCCAAAUGGGGCUGGGGGUGUUG
rnacentral:lncRNA from 1 species